UACGGAGGGUGCAAGCGUUGUCCGGAUUUAUUGGGUUUAAAGGGUGCGUAGGCGGCCCGUUAAGUCAGCGGUGAAGUCCCACGGCUCAACCGUGGAACUGCCGUUGAUACUGGCGGGCUUGAGUUCGGUCGAGGCGGGCGGAACUGGCGGUGUAGCGGUGAAAUGCUCAGAUACCGCCAAGAACCCCGAUUGCGUAGGCAGCUCGCUUGGCCGAAACUGACGCUGAGGCACGAAAGCGUGGGGAGCGAACAGG
rnacentral:rRNA from 1 species